AACGAACGCUGGCGGCAUGCCUAACACAUGCAAGUCGAACGAGAUCUUCGGGUCUAGUGGCGCACGGGUGCGUAACGCGUGGGAAUCUGCCCUUUGGUUCGGAAUAAGAGUUGGAAACGACUGCUAAUACCGGAUGAUGACGAAAGUCCAAAGAUUUAUCGCCAGAGGAUGAGCCCGCGUAGGAUUAGCUAGUUGGUGUGGUAAAGGCGCACCAAGGCGACGAUCCUUAGCUGGUCUGAGAGGAUGAUCAGCCACACUGGGACUGAGACACGGCCCAGCCUCUGACGGGAGGCAGCGGUGGGGAAUAUGGGACAAGGGGCGAAAGCCUGAGCCAGCAGGGCCGCGUGAGUGAUGAAGGCCUUGGGGUUGAAAAGCUCUUUUACCCGGGAUGAUAAUGACGGUACCGGGAGAAUAAGCUCCGGCUAACCCCGUGCCAGCCGCCGCCGUAA
rnacentral:rRNA from 1 species